rnacentral:lncRNA from 1 species
CUAUUGGGAUCGUCGACACGCCGGGCGGCCUUGCUGGAUUAGUUUUACCUUUGACGAGAUAUCUUGUGCAUCGGGAUUCCGGUGAUGCUUUGGGUAAUCUCAGAGUUGAGGUUUUCCACUAGGGAAUCCGACGAGAUCGCGAGCUUCAUGAUCGAGGAUUUCUAUGCGGCUUGUGGUAAUUUGUGAUGGACUAGUUGGAGCACCCCUGCAGGGUUAAAUCUUUCGGAAAGCCGUGCCCGCAGUUAUGUGGCAACAUGGAAACUUUGUUUAACACUGGUUCUAGAUAACUUGAAGUUAACAUAAUUAAAAUAUGCCAACUGUGUGCGUAACCGUGAUUGUUUCUUUCGUGAGUUCUUUCUCCGAUCGAGGACACGGUGGGGUUAUGUCUGACGUAGGUAGGUGUUCAGGAUCAUUCUUUCGAUCAUCUGUAGUUCACGUCCGCUAUGCGUAGAUCUUCCCCCUCUUAUUUCUGGUACUCGUAAGUUUAGCCACCAAAUAUAUGCUUAGCCGCUGCAGCAACC